GGCCAGACUCCUACGGGAGGCAGCAGUGGGGGAUAUUGCACAAUGGGGGAAACCCUGAUGCAGCGACGCCGCGUGUGGGAAGACGGUCCUCUGGAUUGUAAACCACUGUCCCCAGGGACGAAGAUGACGGUACCUGGGGAGGAAGCUCCGACUAACUACGUGCCAGCAGCCGCGGUAAUACGUAGGGGGCAAGCGUUAUCCGGAAUUACUGGGUGUAAAGGGUGAGUAGGCGGCAUGGUAAGCCAGAUGUGAAAGCCUUGGGCUUAACCCGAGGAUUGCAUUUGGAACUAUCAAGCUGGAGUACAGGAGAGGAAAGCGGAAUUCCUAGUGUAGCGGUGAAAUGCGUAGAUAUUAGGAGGAACACCAGUGGCGAAGGCGGCUUGCUGGGCUUUUACUGACGCUGAGGCUCGAAAGUGUGGGGAGCAAACAGGAUUAGAUACCCCUGUAC
rnacentral:rRNA from 1 species